UGGCUUAGUGGUAGAGUGCUUGCCUUGAAUGCAUGAGGCCCUGAGUUUGAUUCCUCAG
rnacentral:tRNA from 1 species